GUAUCAAUUCAUUAUUAGCAGGCA
rnacentral:piRNA from 1 species